AGAGUUUGAUCCUGGCUCAGGAUGAACGCUGGCGGCGUGCUUAACACAUGCAAGUCGAACGAACCUUCGGGUUAGUGGCGGACGGGUGAGUAACGCGUGAGAAUCUGCCCUCAGGAGGGGGAUAACGGUUGGAAACGACCGCUAAUACCCCAUAUGCCGAGAGGUGAAAUGAAUUUCGCCUGAGGAUGAGCUCGCGUCUGAUUAGUUAGUUGGUGGGGUAAUGGCCUACCAAGACAUCGAUCAGUAGCUGGUCUGAGAGGAUGAUCAGCCACACUGGGACUGAGACACGGCCCAGACUCCUACGGGAGGCAGCAGUGGGGAAUUUUCCGCAAUGGGCGAAAGCCUGACGGAGCAACGCCGCGUGAGGGAUGAAGGCCUCUGGGCUGUAAACCUCUUUUAUCAAGGAAGAAGAUCUGACGGUACUUGAUGAAUAAGCCACGGCUAAUUCCGUGCCAGCAGCCGCGGUAAUACGGGAGUGGCAAGCGUUAUCCGGAAUUAUUGGGCGUAAAGCGUCCGCAGGCGGUCUGUCAAGUCUGCUGUUAAAGCGUGGAGCUUAACUCCAUUUCGGCAGUGGAAACUGACAGACUAGAGUGUGGUAGGGGCAGAGGGAAUUCCCGGUGUAGCGGUGAAAUGCGUAGAUAUCGGGAAGAACACCAGUGGCGAAGGCGCUCUGCUGGGCCAUAACUGACGCUCAUGGACGAAAGCCAGGGGAGCGAAAGGGAUUAGAUACCCCUGUAGUCCUGGCCGUAAACGAUGAACACUAGUGUCGGGGGAAUCGACCCCCUCGGUGUCGUAGCCAACGCGUUAAGUGUUCCGCCUGGGGAGUACGCACGCAAGUGUGAAACUCAAAGGAAUUGACGG
rnacentral:rRNA from 1 species